GGCUGACUGGCGUAAUGGUAGCGCGUCCGCCUCCUAAGCGGAAGGUUCUGGGUUCGAGUCCCAGGUUGGUCG
rnacentral:tRNA from 1 species